rnacentral:rRNA from 1 species
GACGAACGCUGGCGGCGUGCCUAAUACACGCAAGUCGAGCGGAAUGAUGAAGAAGCUUGCUUCUUCUGAUUUUAGCGGCGGACGGGUGAGUAACACGUGGGCAACCUACCUUGUAGAUUGGGAUAACUCCGGGAAACCGGGGCUAAUACCGAAUAAUCCAUUUUGCUUCAUGGCGAGAUGUUGAAAGACGGUUUCGGCUGUCACUACAAGAUGGGCCCGCGGCGCAUUAGCUAGUUGGUAGGGUAAUGGCCUACCAAGGCGACGAUGCGUAGCCGACCUGAGAGGGUGAUCGGCCACACUGGGACUGAGACACGGCCCAGACUCCUACGGGAGGCAGCAGUAGGGAAUCUUCCACAAUGGACGAAAGUCUGAUGGAGCAACGCCGCGUGAGUGAAGAAGGUUUUCGGAUCGUAAAACUCUGUUGUAAGGGAAGAACACGUACGAGAGUAACUGCUCGUACCUUGACGGUACCUUAUUAGAAAGCCACGGCUAACUACGUG